rnacentral:rRNA from 1 species
AGCCGCGGUAAUUCCAGCUCCUGUAUCGUAAAUAAACGUUGUUGCACUUAAAAAGCUCCUAAUUGAAGUGAGGGAGUGUGUGUUGUGAUCGAAUCAAUCGAGAGCAGUACAACCUCCCCCUUCCAAUGGGUGUAUUGGGGUAUUCAUUUACUUCAUUAAUCCUUUGGUCGUUUACUGUGAGAAAGUUAGAGUGAUCAAAGCGGGCGUUUGUUUGAGUACAUUAUCAUGGAGAAAUGAUUGAAGGCGUUCAUGUUCUAUUUGAUUGGUUUGUUCAUGGAAGCAAGGUGGAAGGAACAGUUGGAGGUAUUCCUAUUCACUACUCUUGGGUGAAAUUCUCGGAUUUAUGGAAAAUGAA